rnacentral:lncRNA from 1 species
AGAUUAUUGAUUGAUUAAUGGGCUGAUUGAUGGGGUUAGUGAAAGAUUGAUGGCAUUAUUGAUAAAUUAACGGGUUUAUUAAUGAGAUUAAUAAGGUAUUGAUGGGAUUAUUGACUGAUUAUUGUGAUUAUUGAUGUGCUAAUGGAAUAAUUAAUGGGAUUAUUGAUGGGAUUGAUGAGAUUGGAGGUCAAUUAAUGGAAUGACUGAUGUGAUUAAUGAGGGAUUGAUGGGAUUUUUGACUAAUUAAUGGGAUUAUUGAUGGACUGAUGGAGUAAUUAAUGGGAUUAUUGGUUGAUUAAUGGGAUUAUUGAUGGGAUUAAUGAGGGAUCGAUGGGAUUAUUGGUUGAUUAAUGGGAUGACUGAUGGGAUUAAUGAGGGAUCGAUGGGAUUAUUGGUUGAUUAAUGGGAUGAUUGAUGGGAUUAUUGACUGAUUAAUGGGAUUAUUGAUUAAUUGGAUGAUUGGUGAGAUUAUUGAUGGAUUGAUGGGAUUAUUGAUUGAUUUAUAGGAUUAUUGAUGAACUGAUUGAAUAAUUAAGGGCAUUAUUGAUGGGACUGAUAGAAUUAUUGAUUGAUUAAUGGGUUUAUUGAUGAGAUUAAUGAUGGACUGACGCCAUUAAUGAUUGAUUAAUGGGAUGACUCACAGGAUUAAUGAGAGAUUGAUAAGAUUAUGGAUUGCUUAAUGGGAUUAUUGAUGAACUGACGAAAUAAUUAGUGGCAUUAUUGAUCUAAUUAAUGGGUUUACUGCUGUAUCAAUAAGAUUAUUGAUGAAUUAAUGGGAUUAUUGAUGGAUUAAUAGGAUUAUUGAUGAAUUAAUGGGAUUAUUGAUGAAUUAAUAGGAUUGU